CCAUUUCAAUGAUAUAGACAAGAACUGCUGGUGGCCAGGACCAGGUUGUGGCAGUAGAAGAGGGGAGCGACUAGAUUGUGUUUAUAAUUGAGAUGCACCAUCCUGGUGGCAGAUGGAAGCUGUAUAUAAACAUGGUAAGACUGGAGGCAGAGACAACAGGUAGGAGGAUAGUUCAGGUAAGAGAUUGAAAGGAUCCCAACUAGAAAGUUCAGGUAAGAGUAGAAAGAAAGUAAUAUGUUAAAGCAAUAUUUCUUGAGUAAAAUUGAUUCUACUUGGUGACUUGCUAAGAUGUGGAAGGUGAAGAGGAGAGAAAAGUCUGGGUUUUAGUUUGACAAAGUUGGUGCAAGGUGGUAUUGUUACUCGAGAUGCUAAGGAAACACUGGAACGUGAUCCUGCUAGAAUGUGAUUGGAGGAAAUUUAACUAGAGAGAUGUUAUGUUGGGAGUGCCUGGGAACUAAGUAUGAAAGAAGUCAAUGACUGAGAUGAAGAGGAAGAGAAAAAAAUGACAUUUUAAUCCAUGAACUGGUCUAUCCAGCUUUUCUCUAUAUUACUGAGAAAAAGCACAGUUGGAAAUGGAAUAGGUGGGGGCAGGUACAAAAGGGGAAAACCAAAGGUUCAUCCCAAAAGAGAUUUAGCUUCAGUCAUCCAAUCACAGAUGACUAUGCUACCUGGUGUUCCAGCAGCCAGUUCCAGUCUAAUGUUGGGAGCCCAAUGUGUUCCCAACAUAAGACUUGCUGCACCUUCAGUAAAAUUUAUUCCCAUUGACCCUGAUGAUAUAAUAGGAGGGUAUUCAUUAAACUAACAGGAAAGGGUAGUUUGGAAAAAGAUGAAUAAACAUAAACAUGUUAUCCAUUCUUUGAAAAAAUACCUACUAUGUGGUAGACUUUGUUAAAUAACUUAGAAAGCAAAAUUUGCUUACUGCCUGUAAAGAACUUUGAUGAAUUGAAGAUGCGUUUAGGAAAAUAAAGUAAGUGGGGAAGCAUUCAUAUUAGUAAACAAAGGAAGAAAAGAAGACAAAACCAAUAGAAUAGAAUAAAUGAUUGAUUUGCUUUAGGUAAGAAUGACAGAAAAAUAUGAGUUAGCAUGGACUAUAGAUUGAACAGAUUCAACAAUGUAAAUAUAAAAGCAAGGAUGAUAUUGAAAUAUCUAAAUAAAAGUAUAGCAUAUAAGAACAGUAGUGGUUCAUCUUCCUAGGAUGUCAGAUUCCCAAUUGAAUAGUGUAUCUUUUAAAGUUCUUUGGUUUUUAUCAACAGAAAUAGACCCUGGAUAUUAUUAAGGAUUAUUUCACUCAUAAGUAAUAGAAAAUUCUAUCAAAAUGCCUUAAACAACAAAGGAAAUCUACUGCCUCAUAUAACUAAAACUUUCAGGCUUCGGGCUAAUUACAGUAUCUCCAAGGAUGUGGUUUCUUUCCUUCCCCUGUAGUUUUCACAAUGUUGGCCUCAUCCUAAGACUGGUUUCUCUUGUGAUAAUAAGGCAGAUGCUGACACAACUAGGGCUUCAUGUCCAUGUCUAAUUAUUUUAAAAUAAUUCCCAUUGAAGAUAGAAGUAACCUCUUUCCUAGAAUCCCCGACAAACAUGCUCUAUAUUUGAUGGGCCUAAAUUCAGUUAUAUGUCCACUUCCAAACCAUUUGCUGUGGCCAAGGGAAGAGGGCAUGAUAAUUAGCUUGAGCCAAUCAAGAUCUGCUCCUAGAGACAGACAUGAAGUCAAUUCCACACCAAUUGCAUGACUAGAUGUCUAGAGCCUUGUUAGGAAGAAAGCAAGGGAGGGAGGUGGUUUGUAUGUGGGAGAGACAAUCAGCUAAUGUCUAUCACAUUAACUUAAAGCAGGAAAUGAAUGUCUUGGGAGGCCUAGAGGGUAGCUGUGCCUGAUGUUUCAGUUUCCUGAAGAAAAGGCUGGAGAAUUCAUCACAGAAAUAGGACAUGAACUAGGUCAGCUACUGGGGUCUAGGGGUUGAGGUAACAGGAACCAUUUGACAGGCAUUUCAGAUUAUACUGCCAGAAUGCCCUAACCUCAUUGCUUUCCCAUUCUUGUUUUACUCUGCACAGGAGUCAAAGUCACAGUGGAGAGAGUUGGCCAAAUUUGGUUCAGGUGCUCACAAUUCAACUAGGAGAGCUCGUAGAACAUAGACUGAUGGUCCCACUGAACUGUUCAUAAUGGAGAAGAGAUACUUGCUCCCAAAGACAUUGGGGGUAGUUUUCUAAAUAAAGGUUAAAAGGGUCUGGUUUUCCAAACAUAAAUGUUCACUACAAGUAUUAUUAGAUUCCAAAUAUAAAAGGGUAUAAGGAACUCAGAAUGGCUAGAUUAAAUAAAAAGGAUAAUUACCAACAAAUAGUUUUGACUGAAAAUAUGUCUGUUCAUCAGCUUUUUACUGAGUGUCUAAUAUAUGCAAUGUGCUAUGUGGAUGCUACAAUGAAUUGUAGAGGUAGGAGGAAAGGAACUUAACCCAUUUAAAGAGCAUGCAAUCUGACACCUUAUUUUUAAGGUGAGGAGAGGAGAGCUAGACAGAACAGGACAGUAGUGAGUAUUACCAAAGAUGGACUAGACCCCUAAACUGCAUUAUUCUAACCCAUCUAGGGUCUUUCUGUUAUGCUUUACGUACUCGCUUAGUUGCAAAAAUGGUCAUAAACCAAACAAACUUCAGAGAAAGGCAGAGAAAGGACCCUAGUACUAUCCCAUGUUGGAGGCAAGGCUAAGAAGUAAUGGGAAUGUCUUCCUCCUUAUCAUCAAAAUGGGCAGCAUCAAAACCCAUUAUUAAGACCCUAACCAUCCAGUCACUUCAAAACAAGAGCCAUCAACUAAAGGGACUAGAGAACUCACUUCAGCCAAAGGUCUGUCAGUAGAGAGGUGGUGGCCAGUGAAGGUAGUGCUUGGCACUUUUUUCCUGAGAACUAAGAAAAUUAAAAAUAAACUACUGUCUGCUCCAAAUAACUUCCAUACAGCUAUGCAGCAGUACAGAAAAGGGUGAGAAGUGUUGGAUCAGGGGCAGGUUCUCUAACUUCUAAAGGUGCCUUCUGCUGCUAAGAUUCUGCAGCUUCAGGCUCUUUAUUGUAUUUUAGUUCAAUAAGAUUUUUUUUAUUUUUUUUAAAUCUGUUUGCUACUGUAGUACAUUUAAACAUCAGCAGAUGGGGCCCUUGGUUCCUGUGAAGAAUGCCAGGGCUUGAAUUUUGUUCUCGUCUGUGCUCUGCGUGAAUUUUUCUUGUUGCUUUUACAGCAUGUUAAAUUUGUACUCUUUAUAGUUCACAAACCUUUAUUUAAUCAAGAAAAAUAAAACUCACUAAUGGCAAGAGAACCUUUUUUUCCUCUUCUACUGUUCUAUAGAGAUAAGUUAGAUCUGUUUACAAAUAGAAAAAUGAGACUAACAUAAUACUCAGACAACAUGAUUCUGAAACAGCAACAGAAGUCAAUGUUGUAAUUAAUCUGUUGUCCUUAACUCACGAAGCUAUGUGGAAGGCUUUUGUUGCAUGGACCACAGGUGACAGUUUGGUUGCAUCCAAGGUUACUCUGAUUCUGCAUUAUUUUCUCUCCUCUCUCCUGAAUUUCGUUUUAUGAAGACAUUGUGUCAAUUGGCUGGUUUUUAGCACUUGCCAAUGAUUAUUAUUUUUUUAAGUGAUGUUUGUCGAUAGUCCAUAAAGGGAACAACUGGUCAUCUGGUCCUUGCACCUGUUCAAGUGGGUAAGUUUCAGCUUCUUAAAGGUGAGAUUCUUUCCCACCAGAAAUGUAACAGUCCUUUGAGGAAGGAGUGUAGUUUACUGGGCAGGAGAGAUGACAGCAUUUGGUCCUCAUGCAGUCCUCUCUUGAUUUUCUCCCUGAUUUUUAACGUGACCUUGCUCUUAAGGAUUAAUCACUGUUUUUCUUGUGCCUCCAAAAUGGGAUGACCCAGAAUUUUAUUUGGUGGAAAGUACUGUGAGGUAACCAGAACA
rnacentral:lncRNA from 1 species